rnacentral:rRNA from 1 species
GAUGAACGCUGGCGGCGUGCUUAACACAUGCAAGUCGAACGGGAAAUAUUUCAUUGAGACUUCGGUGGAUUUGAUUUAUUUCUAGUGGCGGACGGGUGAGUAACGCGUGGGUAACCUGCCUUAUACAGGGGGAUAACAGUCAGAAAUAGCUGCUAAUACCGCAUAAGCGCACAGAGCUGCAUGGCUCAGUGUGAAAAACUCCGGUGGGAUAAGAUGGACCCGCGUUGGAUUAGCUUGUGGGUGGGGUAACGGCCCACCAAGGCGACGAUCCAUAGCCGGCCUGAGAGGGUGAACGGCCACAUUGGGACUGAGACACGGCCCAGACUCCUACGGGAGGCAGCAGUGGGGAAUAUUGCACAAUGGGGGAAACCCUGAUGCAGCGACGCCGCGUGAAGGAAGAAGUAUCUCGGUAUGUAAACUUCUAUCAGCAGGGAAGAUAGUGACGGUACCUGACUAAGAAGCCCCGGCUAACUACGUGCCAGCAGCCGCCGUAAGAC